UACGUAGGUGGCAAGCGUUGUCCGGAUUUACUGGGCGUAAAGAGCGCGAAGGCGGUCGGCCAAGUCGAGUGUGAAAGCCCCCGGCUCAACUGGGGAGGGUCAUUCGAUACUGGUCGACUCGAAGGCAGGAGAGGGAAGCGGAAUUCCCGGUGUAGUGGUGAAAUGCGUAGAUAUCGGGAGGAACACCAGUGGCGAAGGCGGCUUCCUGGCCUGUUCUUGACGCUGAGGCGCGAAAGCUAGGGGAGCAAACGGG
rnacentral:rRNA from 1 species